GAGAUAUUAGUAAAAUCAUUACAUAACUUUGUCAAGGUUAAAUUAUAGACUGAAAUCUAUAUAUCUUA
rnacentral:tRNA from 1 species